rnacentral:rRNA from 1 species
GUAGGUGGCAAGCGUUGUCCGGAAUUAUUGGGCGUAAAGCGCGCGCAGGCGGUUCUUUAAGUCUGAUGUGAAAGCCCACGGCUCAACCGUGGAGGGUCAUUGGAAACUGGAGAACUUGAGUACAGAAGAGGAAAGCGGAAUUCCACGUGUAGCGGUGAAAUGCGUAGAGAUGUGGAGGAACACCAGUGGCGAAGGCGGCUUUCUGGUCUGUAACUGACGCUGAGGCGCGAAAACGUGGGGAGCAAACAGGGAUUAGAUACCCUGGUAGUCCACGCCGUAAACGAUGAGUGCUAAGUGUUAGGGGGGUUUCCGCCCCCUUAGUGCUGCAGCUAACGCAUUAAGCACUCCGCCUGGGGAGUACGGCCGCAAGGCUG